ACGGGAUUGGGUGGCUCUGGCUCCGCACGUCAGCUCAGGGCCUGCUGGACCCUGACCUGAGACCUGGUGACAGGAGCCAUGAGGGGCCAGGCCUCAGGUCCCACAGCCUCCAGGACCACUGGCUGCCCAUGAGAGACGAAGGAUGGCAUCCAAGGGGGCCGGCGUGUCUUUCUCCCGCAAGAGCUGUAGGCUGACCUCAGAUGCUGAGAAAUCCAGGGUCACAGGCAUUGUGCAGGAGAAGCUGCUGAAUGACUACCUGAACCGCAUCUUUCCUCUUCUGACCAUGCACCCCCAGCAGCCACCGGCAGUUACUCGGGAGGCUGAGGCAGGAGAAUCGCUUGAACCGGAGAGGCGGACGUUGCAGUGAGCCGAGGUCAAACCAGUGCACUCCAGCCUGGGCAACAGAGCGAGACUCCAUCUGAAAAAGAAACAAAAAGAAAAAAAAA
ensembl:lncRNA novel transcript